rnacentral:lncRNA from 1 species
UUAUAUUACCUUAAUUUGUUUUCUUUAUCUAUAAAUAAAUCUUGCCUACUUCUGUUUGCAGGGUAAAAUUAAGGUGAUUUUCUUCUGCAACGUGAUUGAGCUAGCAUACUCUCCAGGAGGGAACAGACAGGCAUUCUGAAAGGAUGUUCGGUAUUUUUAGAGCCUUUUAUACAUUUGUUUCUGCUGUUGUGCUAAUAUGCUAAUGUUUAUCAAGGUUGUGUCCUGUGAAGAAUAACUCAAGUGUUGUUUCUCUUGAUGCGGGAACUUUAAAGUACUUUUAUUCUGUAGCCAUCCACUCUAAUUAAGUUUUACAUCCCUUCAACGCUGGCUUUUCAGGUACCAUAUCAUCAUUAUUAUUAUUACCAAUUUGUCAGCUGCUUUAUUUUUUCAUACUUUAAAACGGAAAACAGUAAUUUUAGGUCAGGAAUGGCAGUAUAGUUUUUGUCUGUGGUGGUUCCAAGUAGUUUUUAAUUGACACAGGAUUUACAGACUGACUAAAAAGAGAAAAAGUCAGAUGUGAUAAUAGAAAGCUCAUGGGUUUUUUUUAGGCAGGGGGACCUGGAUUCAAAUCGUGACUCUCUCUUAAUCAGCUGAGUGGCCUUAGACAAGCUACUUAACCAACCUGUCUCACCUUCAGACUUCUGUGAGAUGGGGAUAACCUAGUUCAAAUGAGAUGAAAAGUAAAUUUACUUAUAGUAAGUAGCACAUUUUUUCUUUUUGAGACAGAGUUUUGUUCUGUCGCCAGGCUGGAGUGCAAUGGCGAGAUCUCGGCUCACUGCAACCUCCGUCUCUGGGGUUCAAGCAAUUUUCCUGUCCCCGCCUCCCUGUAGCUGUGACUACAGGCACGCACCACCACACCGGGCUUUCACCAUGUUGGCCAGGAUGGUCUCAAUCUCUUGACCUUGUGAUCUACCCACCUUGGCCUCCCAAAAUGCUUGUAUUACAGGUGUCAGCCACUGCGCCUGGCCCUAAGUAGCACAUUUUAAGAUGCUUUCUGAAUGUGAGAUUUUUCUAGUUCUUCCUUUUGCAAAGUACUGUUCUUUUUCUGUGAUUGUUGAGUGAUUCAAGUAUAGAAAUUCCAUGAUUAGAGUUUAAAAAUACCUCUACAAAUGUGUUUAAAACAAUGAGCAGCGCUCAGUGGGCACUAUUAAAACAAAAUUAUUUAUAUGAUCACCUACUAUUUUUAUCUUAAUGAUUGCCAGCUAUCUACUUGUUACACCUUUCCUCCUCUUUUACAUUUCUGGAUUAAAUAAUAAUAGCUAACUUUUUUUGAGUACUUGUCAUGGGCACUGUUCCAGUUUAUUUGCAUAUAUUAACUCAUUUAAUCUUUACAACAGCCUUUGAAGAUGGGCCUGUUAGUAUCCUCUAUUUUAUAAAUGAGGAAGUGAAACUCAUGUCAGCUGCCAUUUCUGCCAUC